GACGAACGCUGGCGGCGUGCUUAACACAUGCAAGUCGAACGGAAAGGCCCUGCUUGCAGGGUACUCGAGUGGCGAACGGGUGAGUAACACGUGGGUGAUCUGCCCUGCACUUCGGGAUAAGCCUGGGAAACUGGGUCUAAUACCAGAUAGGAGCCAUUUUUAGUGUGAUGGUUGGAAAGUUUUUUCGGUGUAGGAUGAGCUCGCGGCCUAUCAGCUUGUUGGUGGGGUAAUGGCCUACCAAGGCGGCGACGGGUAGCCGGCCUGAGAGGGUGGACGGCCACAUUGGGACUGAGAUACGGCCCAGACUCCUACGGGAGGCAGCAGUGGGGAAUCUUGCACAAUGGGCGCCAGCCUGAUGCAGCGACGCCGCGUGGGGGAUGACGGCCUUCGGGUUGUAAACUCCUUUCGCUAGGGACGAAGCUUUUUGUGACGGUACCUAGAUAAGAAGCACCGGCUAACUACGUG
rnacentral:rRNA from 1 species